GACGAACGCUGGCGGCGUGCUUAACACAUGCAAGUCGAACGGAAAGGCCCUGCUUUUGUGGGGUGCUCGAGUGGCGAACGGGUGAGUAACACGUGAGUAACCUGCCCUUGACUUUGUGAUAACUUCAGGAAACUGGGGCUAAUACCGGCUAGGAGCUCCUGCUGCAUGGGGGGGGUUGGAAAGUUUCGGCGGUUGGGGAUGGACUCGCGGCUUAUCAGCUUGUUGGUUGGGUAGUGGCUUACCAAGGCUUUGACGGGUAGCCGGCCUGAGAGGGUGACCGGCCACAUGGGGACUGAGAUACGGCCCAGACUCCUACGGGAGGCAGCAGUGGGGAAUAUUGCACAAUGGGCGGAAGCCUGAUGCAGCAACGCCGCGUGCGGGAUGACGGCCUUCGGGUUGUAAACCGCUUUCGCCUGUGACGAAGCGUGAGUGACGGUAAUGGGUAAAGAAGCACCGGCUAACUACGUG
rnacentral:rRNA from 1 species